rnacentral:rRNA from 1 species
CCUACGGGAGGCUGCAGUGGGGAAUAUUGCGCAAUGGGCGAAAGCCUGACGCAGCGACGCCGCGUGAGGGAUGAAGGUCUUCGGAUCGUAAACCUCUGUCAGCAGGGAAGAACGGUCACUGUGCUAAUCAGCAGUGAAUUGACGGUACCUGCAAAGGAAGCACCGGCUAACUCCGUGCCAGCAGCCGCGGUAAUACGGAGGGUGCGAGCGUUAAUCGGAAUUACUGGGCGUAAAGCGCUCGUAGGCGGUAUGUCAAGUCAAGGGUGAAAUCCCCGCGCUCAACGUGGGAACUGCCUUUGAAACUGGGAAACUGGAGUGUGUGAGAGGAUAGUGGAAUUCCAGGUGUAGGAGUGAAAUGCGUAGAUAUCUGGAGGAACAUCAGUGGCGAAGGCGACUAUCUGGCACAUAACUGACGCUGAGGAGCGAAAGCGUGGGUAGCAAACAGGAUUAGAUACCCUAGUAGUC